rnacentral:lncRNA from 1 species
UGAAAACAUAAUUCAUUUACAUUUUCAAUUUUAGACGUUGUUCUGUGCCCAAAUAAUCAAGAUUAUAAAUUCUUAUUCUUAAUCUUGUAAAAAAAUAACAAGUUAAUGUACCAACGAAAAAGCUGUGUCAAAAGAUUCAAGACAAACGAGUUUUUGGACAUAGCAAUGAAAGAAAGAGAUUUAACGAAAACCUGAAGACAUCGAGGUCGAAUCAAGAAGCCAAAAAAAUUCCAGCAGCAUUUUUCGAUAUAUUAGGGUUUGAAUCCGAAAUCUCUGAAAUGGGGCUUUGAUAUGUCGGCGCUUAUCGAAGCAAGCAGAGGCGACAGAAAAUUGAAACCUCUAAUUGAAAUCUUGCAAUAACAAUUCAGUUAUUCAAAUAUCGAAACAAAUUUUUAGGGCGCCGAUGAUCAAGAUUCGUGGAGAUCGAAUGUUCAAGAAUAUAAAGAACGAGAAAAUGCUCCAAAAUAUAUUGAUAUAAAAUUUCGUUUAGAUGAGUCGAUUACAGAGAAAUUGAAUCAAGAUAGAGUGGUGAGGGAAAAUAAGAGAUAAAAUUCAGACUAGAAAAAAUAGAAUCGCCGAGGAAUAAAUUUCCCGUUUUCACACACAUCUCUCUCUCGCUAUCUUAAAAUCCUAAUUCAUAAAAU